GAGCCAUUAGCUCAGCUGGUAGAGCAUCCGACUUUUAAUCAGAGGGUCAGAGGUUCGAAUCCUCUAUGGCUCA
rnacentral:tRNA from 1 species